AUUGAACGCUGGCGGCAGGCCUAACACAUGCAAGUCGAGCGGAGCGGCGGUCGGGUGCGUAAUGCCUAGGAAUCUGCCUGUUAGUGGUGGAUAACGUCCGGAAACGGGCGAUAAUACCGCAUACUCUCAGUUGAGCCUAGGUCGGAUUCGCUAGUUGGUGGGGUAAAGGCCUACCAAGGCGACGAUCCGUAACUGGUCUGAGAGGAUGAUCAGUCACACUGGGACUGAGACACGGUCCAGACUCCUACGGGAGGCAGCAGUGGGGAAUAUUGGACAAUGGGCGAAAGCCUGAUCCAGCCAGGCCGCGUGUGUGAAGAAGGUCUUCGGAUUGUAAAGCACUUUAAGUUGGGAGGCGUUACCGACAGAAUAAGCACCGGCUAACUUCGUGCCAGCAGCCGCGGUAAUUC
rnacentral:rRNA from 1 species